rnacentral:sRNA from 1 species
CAAACCAAGAUGGAGUAUGAGUGGAAACCUGACGAGCAAGGGCUUCAGCAAAUCCUGCAGCUGUUGAAGGAGUCCCAGUCCCCAGACACCACCAUCCAGAGAACCGUGCAACAAAAACUGGAACAACUUAAUCAAUAUCCAGACUUUAACAACUACUUGAUUUUUGUUCUUACAAAAUUAAAAUCUGAAGAUGAACCCACAAGAUCAUUGAGUGGUCUCAUCUUGAAGAAUAAUGUGAAAGCACACUUUCAGAACUUCCCAAAUGGUGUAACAGACUUUAUUAAAAGUGAAUGUUUAAAUAAUAUUGGUGACUCCUCUCCUCUGAUUAGAGCCACUGUUGGUCUCAUGCUGUUGCAUGUGUCAAUCAGUUUAUCAUCAGUAGGACUCAAGCUCUGAUGUUGCACAUUGAUUCUUUUAUUGAG